rnacentral:rRNA from 1 species
UACGUAUGGGGCAAGCGUUAUCCGGAUUCAUUGGGCGUAAAGAGCGCGUAGGCGGAUUGUUAAGCGAGAUGUGAAAACCGGGGGCUCAACCCGCGGCCUGCAUCUCGAACUGGCAGUCUUGAGUCUGGUAGAGGAAAGUGGAAUUCCCAGUGUAGCGGUGAAAUGCGCAGAUAUUGGGAGGAACACCAGUGGCGAAGGCGGCUUUCUGGGCCACGACUGACGCUGAGGCGCGAAAGCUAGGGGAGCAAACAGG